rnacentral:rRNA from 1 species
UAGGGAGUCUUUUGCAAUGGACGAACGUCUGACCGACCAACGCCGCGUGCGUGAAGAAGGUUUUCGGAUCGUAAAACUCUGUUGUUAGAGAAGAACAAGGACGUUAGUAACUGAACGUCCCCUGACGGUAUCUAACCAGAAAGCCACGGCUAACUACGUGCCAGCAGCCGCGGUAAUACGUAGGUGGCAAGCGUUGUCCGGAUUUAUUGGGCGUAAAGCGAGCGCAGGCGGUUUCUUAAGUCUGAUGUGAAAGCCCCCGGCUCAACCGGGGAGGGUCAGUGGAAACUGGGAGAAUUGAGUGCAGAAGAGGAGAGUGGAAUUCCAUGUGUAGCGGUGAAAUGCGUAGAUAUAUGGAGGAACACCAGUGGCGAAGGCGGCUCUCUGGUCUGUAACUGACGCUGAGGCUAGAAAGCGUGGGGAGCAAACAGG